rnacentral:rRNA from 1 species
GAGUUUGAUCAUGGCUCAGAUUGAACGCUGGCGGCGUGCCUAACACAUGCAAGUCGAGCGGCAGCGCGGGGCAACCUGGCGGCGAGCGGCGGACGGGUGAGCAAUAUUUGGGAAUCUGCCUACUAGUGGGGGACAACCCGGGGAAACUCGGGCUAAUACCGCAUACGCACUACGGUGGAAAGCCGGGGAUCGUAAGACCUGGCGCUAGUAGAUGAGCCCAAAUCGGAUUAGCUAGUUGGUGAGGUAACGGCUCACCAAGGCGACGAUCCGUAGCUGGUCUGAGAGGACGACCAGCCACACCGGAACUGAGACACGGUCCGGACUCCUACGGGAGGCAGCAGUGGGGAAUAUUGGACAAUGGGCGAAAGCCUGAUCCAGCGACGCCGCGUGGGUGAAGAAGGCCUGCGGGUUGUAAAGCCCUUUCGGUUGGGAAGAAAAGUUUCGGUCUAAUACACCGGAAUCUUGACGUAACCAACAAAAGAAGCACCGGCUAACUCUGUGCCAGCAGCCGCAGU